rnacentral:rRNA from 1 species
UACGGGGGGGGCAAGCGUUGUUCGGAAUUACUGGGCGUAAAGGGCGCGUAGGCGGCCUGUUAAGUCGAACGUGAAAUCCCCGGGCUCAACCCGGGAACUGCGUCCGAUACUGGCAGGCUUGAAUCCGGGAGAGGGAUGCGGAAUUCCAGGUGUAGCGGUGAAAUGCGUAGAUAUCUGGAGGAACACCGAUGGCGAAGGCAGCUCUCUGGGACGGUACUGACGCUGAGACGCGAAAGCGUGGGGAGCGAACAGG